CCUACGGGUGGCAGCAGUGAGGAAUAUUGGUCAAUGGACGAGAGUCUGAACCAGCCAAGUAGCGUGAAGGAUGACUGCCCUAUGGGUUGUAAACUUCUUUUAUAUGGGAAUAAAAUGUUCCACGUGUGGGAUUUUGUAUGUACCAUAUGAAUAAGGAUCGGCUAACUCCGUGCCAGCAGCCGCGGUAAUACGGAGGAUCCGAGCGUUAUCCGGAUUUAUUGGGUUUAAAGGGAGCGUAGGUGGAUUGUUAAGUCAGUUGUGAAAGUUUGCGGCUCAACCGUAAAAUUGCAGUUGAAACUGGCAGUCUUGAGUACAGUAGAGGUGGGCGGAAUUCGUGGUGUAGCGGUGAAAUGCUUAGAUAUCACGAAGAACUCCGAUUGCGAAGGCAGUUCACUUGACUGCAACUGACACUGAGGCUCGAAAGUGUGGGUAUCAAACAGGAUUAGAUACCCGAGUAGUC
rnacentral:rRNA from 1 species